AGAAAUGUUGUAAAUGAUAAUAAAUAAUAGUUCUCUAAAAUGGUAAUAGUGUAGACCCACAUAGAAGGCACCAGAAAUGGUCCUCCAACUCUGCCAUGCCAUCCCCAGGGGCUAAUUUGAAGACUUCUGUCGCACUACACAAUUAUGGUGCUAUGAUUCCACCAUAACUGCAUUUACUAUUCUCAGACACAGAUCUCUAGUCCCAAACCAUAAGCCCCAGGAGAACACAGGAGACAGCUAAUGUUUUAAAAACUGAAUCUUAUAAUUGUACAGUAUAUUGUGAACGGGCCCUAAGGUAGGGAUAACAAUAUUGUUUGAAUUCCAGAGACAGGUUUCCCACCACUGCCAUCAGUUUUGGUCCUGAGAACUGGGUGAUAUCAGAUAGCCUCCAUCUCUUCAAGUUCUACCGCUAAGGUUUUUGCCAUCUGAUUCUUCCUUCAUCCUCCAACUCUCACUGUAAUUUCUUUGUGCAGGGAAGACCACUGGGUACCUCUGAAUGGAUGAUGAGAAUGUGCAGGGGGAUAACAAAGGCUUCCCUGGGAGUAGAUUUGAAGCAGUCUAUUCAGAUGGUUGUUGAGAUAUAAUUACCUGAAACCACUGUUACCUGAAACUAUGGGUACGUUAGCUUAGCUUACUUCCAUUCCCAGUGCAUCAUCUGUUAUGGUUGAGCCUUAUGGCUCCAAUACUGGGAGACGUGGUCGUAAGACUCCUCGAGAGUCAGACUCUCUUGAGGAGCGAGAGAGGAAACGGCUGCGAGACAUCUUUGCAGAACCAUCUGACGAAGACUCCUUUGAGGGCUUUACUGAGAGAAUGGAGGAAGAGGUGGUUAGCUCAGAGGAGGAUGACAUGGAAUGGACUCGUGUAAGGGAGGAUUUGGGUGUUCCUGGUAAUGAUAGCAUGGGAAGCGACUGGCGGGUUGCAGGAUUGGACCCGUGGACGAGUUGGAGGGAUGGGACGGGAUCCACAGCUGGGGAUGCUGUGGGGCGUAGUCAAAGAUGUUUUAGCUCUGAUGAGGAUGAUGAUGAUGAGGCACCUGGAAUUAGGGUAACAGCUGAUAGCGAUGAGGAGUUGUAAACUGGCAUAAAAUGGGGUCUUGAAUCCAGGGCUAAUUGCGUUGGGCAAGGUAAUCUGGACGGACGCUUGGGAUCUUGUUGGGAAAUUCCUGAAGACGGGUGUGUUUCGUUUGCUGAAUACCUUGGACCUCCGUCGUCUUCUUGACGGACAUUAUUUACCUACUCGGAAUUGACGCUGGACUGGCUGACUGACUGACUGACUGACUGACUGACUACGAUCUUGGACGACCCUUUCUUUGCCUAUCGGAGGAUUUCGUGGAACCUAAGACGCCUGCACCUGGUAAUCGACCUCGGACCGGAUUGGGACCCCGCUGACCGCUGCAACCCUUGAUUGAUGUGUUUGGACCCGGAGUUCGCCCGCUGCACGGAGGAGUAACAACUUAGUUGCUCAACCACAGCUGUUUAGUAGCAGAGAGGAAUCUGCUGCCAGUAUUUAUGUUCUAUUGAAUCUUUGUUUACCAGCUUUUGUUUGUUUAAGGUCCCAGGCUGAAGUAAGCAUUUUUGGUUUAACCCGAAUUAAACUCCUGUUUAAUCCGGUUUAUCUUUUGAACCGUUUUUGAGUGACUUUUCAUAUUGAAGGCGAGUGUUUGCCUAGCUCUUUGUUUUUUACGAGCAUUUUUGGUUCUGUACCUUUAAUAAACUGUGUUGAAUCUUA